rnacentral:snoRNA from 1 species
ACGACCUUACUUGAACAGGAUCUGUUCUAUAGGCUCGUACCUCUGUAUCCUUUAGCACAAAGGAGACAGGAUCUCAAGUCUGGUUGACGAAUCAUGACCUUGCGACCAGAGCGUGAUUACCAGCUUCCUGGUCCUUGUCCCGGACCAGACAGCAGUAGAGGAUCGUUCUUAGCCAGUGCUCUGGCUGGGAUGGUCACAAGGUUGUCCGACAGACU